rnacentral:lncRNA from 1 species
AUGACAAAAAAAGAACAGAGUCUCUGUGGUGUUCAGUACCAUGCAAGGACUACAAAUACCAGAGACUCUGUGGUGUUCCAUACCAUGCAGGACUACAAAGACCAGAGACUCUGUGGUGUACAGUACCACGCAGGACUACAAAGACCAGAGUCUCUGGGUUGUGCUAUACUACGCAGGACUACAGAGAACAGCGUCUCUGUGGUGUUCAGUACCAUGCAUGACUACAAUGACCAGAGACUCUGUGUUGUUCAGUACCAUGCAGGACUACAACGACCAGGGACUCUGUGGUGUUCAGUACCAUGCAGGACUACAACGACCAGGGACUCUGUGGUGUUCAGUACCACGCAGGACUACAACGACCAGGGACUCUGUGGUGUUCAGUACCACGCAGGACUACAAAGACCAUUGACUCUUUGGUGUUCAGUACAACGCAGGACUACCAAGACCAGGGACUCUGUGGUAUUCAGUACCAUGCAGGACUACAACAACCGGAGACUCUGUGGUGUUCAGUACCACGCAGGACUAUAGAAGUGUGGGGCGUGACUCGCUGCUCGUGUCCAUCCACCGUCCACAUCCUUGUGUUCCCCUCCACCCUACACACCCUCCACCCUACACACCCUCCACCCUACACACCCUCCACCCUACACACCCUCCACCCUACACACCCGACCCACAUUACUGUGUCGGGGGGGUGCAUUUAGAGACGUCAACCAGCCCCACGGGUCUCUCCCUCUUGACAGACUCUUAUUUUCCUGAAAGAUUCUGUCAUUCCUUUCUGUCCCUGCAGUUUCUUUUAUUGGAUGGUCGACGAUGGUGAGUGGAGCAAGAGAGGAAUCUCAGCCCUCCGUCAGCUCAGGUGAACACUCACACAGACAGAACGUUGGAAGUUCAUUGUAGAUUGUGAGAUUGCAAUAUUUAUUUAUAAAUGUUAUUACGGAGAAGUGGAUGUAAAUAAAAUGCUUAAGAGUACUUGUUGAUAGGAGCAGAUCACUAGCCAGAAAUGGUGAUUUUUGUACAUUUUACAGUGCAAGGGGGUUAUGUUCCACACAGUACACCUGUCAUUGCUGGGUAAUAUUGUUUUUUUUUGUAACAAAUGGUUUAAAUCAUAAUAUUGAAUUGAAGUGCUUGUAUUUGUACAGGGUAGGACUCAGUCUGUCUCCAUCAAUCUAAAUAUGGUGAGUCUUUCUACCCACUGAUCAAACGGAACCAGAUUCCAGUGACAGGAACCGCUUCGAUCACAAUUUUGUGUGACGAUCCACUAUGUGCAGUUUACUUGUAGACCACAAAGAUCCAAAACUUGAAGGGGUUUUAAACUUUUAGCAAGUCAAGAAGCAGAUCACCACAUACACCCUCAAAGCAAUAGACAGUGAAGCUGAAGAACAUUACAAUCUAUGGGAUCCCUUUUCAUCACACCUCAAAACAGAAAAACAAUUGCGACUAACAACUGGCCUCGUUUUGUCCCAAGAGGAAUAUGAACACAUUUUGGUUUAUGGUACGCAGUGCAAUCAAAACAUCCCGUUCUGUUUGCAUUGUAGAGGGCUUGGUCCACCAAGUGUUUCCCUGAGCUGUGAAGAAUGGGACAGAAAAGCAAUAUGUCCAGCUGAGCCUCUGCAGUUUCUGCUCAUGCCUCCGUUACUGUUUUCUGCUCGUCCCUGCAUUAUUUUCUCAGAACAAAGGUUAAGGUGAAGCAGACAGACUUCCCAGGCCUUUUAGUGCGUUGAGUGAGUCAUAGAUGUUAGUUCAUUUAUAAUGUCCCUUUUUUCCAGUUUUUAUUUCAUGUUAAACAGCUUUGUUUUGAAAUGCAAGGGUUUUCUGGACCUGAACAAUAAAGAGAUAUAUGUAUGUAAACACUUUGCAAUGUUUCCAUUAUAUCUAUACGAUUGUCAUUGGAACAUAACAUUUUUUAACCAGGCAAGUUGAUUAAGAACCAAUUCUUAAUUAUGGCAGGAAUGUGGGGAGAGCAUUACGGGGGUGGAGGAGAAAUUUGGGUUAACUAUCUCGCUCAGUGACAGAACGACUUAGCUUGGUGGAUUAGAACCAGAGACUUUUCAGACACCAGGAAGAAGCCCCAACCACUAGACCUUGUGCCACCUGUAGAUCUUCUGUUUUUUUCACAUAAGAGUAAAUUUUUCUAAGAAAGGAUGCUUAUGUAGUUCAUAUUAAGGUUCAUGAAGAGGUUAGUGGUAUACUAAGUGUGAAGUCAUUUUUUCUCCACAG